rnacentral:sRNA from 1 species
AAGCAAGCAUAUGGAGACGAAAUAGCUUCAUUGAGUACAAAGUCACCUGUCUCCAGAGCAAGUCCUCUGUGUCGUUUAUCUCCUGUCUUGGACGAAAAAGGGAUCCUGCGAGUUGGUGGGAGACUUUCUCAGAGCAGCCUACCAGUAGAACAGCGGAACCCAAUCAUUCUACCCGGAAAGUCUCAUCUAACCGUUCUACUUGUACGUCAUAUUCAUGAACUUGUGCACCACCAAGGCAGACUCAUUACCGAGGGCGCUCUUCGCAACCAUGGGUACUGGGUGACGGGCUCUAAGAGAGUUGUAUCUUCUCUUAUACACAAAUGUAUAGUGUGUCGAAAGCUCAGAGGAAACUUUGAAUACCAGAAGAUGGCAGACUUGCCCACGGAUCGCAUUGAGCCAGGGCCUCCAUUCACAUCUGUGGGAGUAGAUACGUUUGGCCCAUGGAUGGUUAUAUCAAGGAAAACUAGAGGGGGUAUGGCACACAACAAGAGGUGGGCUUUGCUUUUUACCUGCCUCACAACCAGAGCAGUUCAUAUAGAAGUAGUAGAAGAUAUGACUAGUUCUUCUGUAAUUAACGCAAUCCGUCGCCUCGUGGCCAUCAGAGGAGAGGUCAGAGAGUUUCGCUCUGACCGAGGUACCAACUUCGUUGGAGCCGCUGACGAGAUGAAGACAAAUGUAGUAAACAUUGAAGAUGAGCCAUUUAAAGACCACCUAGACCGCCAUGGGAUAACUUGGAUCUUCAACGCACCCCACUCCUCCCACAUGGGUGGAGUGUGGGAACGCAUGAUAGGCAUGGCAAGGAGGAUCUUGGACUCAAUGUUUCUUAGACAGCAACGUGAGAUCACCCACGAAGUCCUCGUUACACUGAUGGCAGAGGUCAGCGCCAUCAUUAACUCGAGACCCAUUACUGCUAUUUCAUAUGACUCAAACGCUCCCAUGAUUCUCAGUCCUUCGUUACUUCUCAAUCAGAGGACCACAGGAUGCCCCACUUUAUGUGAAGGUUUGGAUAUCAAGGACAUCUACAAGGCACAGUGGCGCCAUGUCCAAGUUUUAGCAAACACCUUCUGGAAACAGUGGAAGGAACAGUUUCUCCAGAGCCUGCAAUCUCGUCGCAAGUGGACUGAGGAAAGACCAAACAUCAAAAUAGGAGAUGUGAUUUUGCUGAAGGACUCGAGCUUACCCAGAUUUCAGUGGCCGGUUGGAACCGUAGAGAGUGUGUAUCGGUCUCAUAAUGAUAACCAUGUGCGUAAAGUGCAAGUUCGAAUUGUAAGAGAUGGUAAACCAGUAAUCCUCACCCGUCCUAUUACUGAACUGGUGCUGUUAAUAAACUGAACUACUACCAAAGAGACUUUAAUUUUUCACACUUCAAAGUACAUUGAUCUAUCUGUAUUUGUAUACAGUGCUAUUUUUUAUUGUCAGGUAGUUGUAUGAGAUUUUUAGACAUGCAAAUGAAACCAGUUUUGGGUAACUUCUAGUCAUUGUCAGUAUUACAGGUACUAUGUUAAGGGUUGUCGGAAAAAGGAUUUGUUAGGGUAUUUGAUGCAUUCAUUUUUUAGUGUGAAAGGUACACAGUAAGGUUUGUGAAAUUUGUUUUCUAGUUAUAAUUGUACAUCAUUUUUCAAACAAAUAGUAUGUUAGCAAUAUCUUGCAGAUAUCGGACGGGGAGUGUGGUGGAUCGCAUUCCGUUUCUAUCCGAUCCGUUUAUAUCAGUUUAUUUUGUCGAAAUUGUCACGAACUGUUUUCCGUAUUAACCUUUGGCGCUAUAUUUUAGCUUCGCACAUUUUCCUAUGUUCCAAGGCAUUCUGUCUUUCUACUCUUGCCAAAACUUACAGUCAUUACCAGUGUAAGUAAACAUAUAUGUAUUUUGUACAUUAUUUCUUUCAUAAUUCGGUAUUACCAUGGUUUCUAUAAACCUUUCGGUAUAUAACGGUGUAAUGUUUACAUUUUUCGGUUCACUUGACCUACAUUGUCAACCUAUACCUGUAUCGUAGUGUUUACAUAGUUUUUACAUUUGUACUUUAUUCUAAGUUUGUGUUUUGUUUUGUUUGCAGCUUUUACGAUAUUAAAUCGUUAUCUAUC